GUAGUCUGCAACUCGACUACAUGAAGCUGGAAUCGCUAGUAAUCGCGAAUCAGAAUGUCGCGGUGAAUACGUUCCCGGGUCUUGUACACACCGCCCGUCACACCAUGGGAGUCGGAUAUGCCCGAAGUCAGUGACCCAACCAUAUGGAGGGAGCUGCCGAAGGUGGAGCCGAUAACUGGGGUGAAGUCGUAACAAGGUAGC
rnacentral:rRNA from 1 species